AUUGAACGCUGGCGGCAUGCCUAACACAUGCAAGUCGAGCGGCAGCGCGUCCGACCACCCUCGGGUGGUCGGAUGGCGGCGAGCGGCGGACGGGUGAGGAAUGCAUCGGAAUCUGCCUCGUUGUGGGGGGAUAACGUAGGGAAACUUACGCUAAUACCGCAUACGACCUACGGGUGAAAGUGGGGGACCUUCGGGCCUCACGCGAUGAGAUGAGCCGAUGCCGGAUUAGCUAGUUGGCGGGGUAAAGGCCCACCAAGGCGACGAUCCGUAGCUGGUCUGAGAGGAUGAUCAGCCACACUGGAACUGAGACACGGUCCAGACUCCUACGGGAGGCAGCAGUGGGGAAUAUUGCGCAAUGGGCGAAAGCCUGACGCAGCCAUGCCGCGUGUGUGAAGAAGGCCCUUGGGUUGUAAAGCACUUUCAAUUGGGAAGAAAGGUUAGCGUGUUAAUAGCACGUAGCUGUGACGUUACCUUUAGAAGAAGCACCGGCUAACUCCG
rnacentral:rRNA from 1 species